rnacentral:rRNA from 1 species
GACGAACGCUGGCGGCGUGCCUAACACAUGCAAGUCGAGCGGAGACAGUGAGUAGCUUGCUAUGAGCUGUUUUAGCGGCGGACGGGUGAGUAACGCGUGAGCAACCUUUCCCAGACAGGGGAAUAACACACCGAAAGGUGUACUAAUACCGCAUAAGACCACGGGAUCACAUGGUUCUGGGGUAAAAGAAUUAUCGGUUUGGGGUGGGCUCGCGUCCGAUUAGGUAGUUGGUGAGGUAACGGCCCACCAAGCCGACGAUCGGUAGCCGACCUGAGAGGGUGAUCGGCUACAUUGGGACUGAGACACGGCCCAAACUCCUACGGGAGGCAGCAGUGGGGAAUAUUGGGCAAUGGAGGAAACUCUGACCCAGCAACGCCGCGUGGAGGAAGAAGGUUUUCGGAUCGUAAACUCCUGUCCUUGGAGACGAGUAGAAGACGGUAUCCAAGGAGGAAGCCCCGGCUAACUACGUGCCAGCAGCCGCGGUAAUACGUAGGGGGCAAGCGUUGUCCGGAAUAAUUGGGCGUAAAGGGCGCGUAGGCGGCUCGGUAAGUCUGGAGUGAAAGUCCUGCUUUUAAGGUGGGAAUUGCUUUGGAUACUGUCGGGCUUGAGUGCAGGAGAGGUUAGUGGAAUUCCCAGUGUAGCGGUGAAAUGCGUAGAGAUUGGGAGGAACACCAGUGGCGAAGGCGACUAACUGGACUGUAACUGACGCUGAGGCGCGAAAGUGUGGGGAGCAAACAGGAUUAGAUACCCUGGUAGUCCACACUGUAAACGAUGAA